GUAAGUCACUUCACAUCCUCUCUCAGAUUCAUUUUGUAAAUGAAUAUCUGUAAAAUGAAAGGAUUGGAUUAGAUGAUCCUAUAUGGGUCCCUUUCAUACCUAAUGUUUUAUGACACUUUGACUUUUGGCAAGUCUACUUCCUGCCAAAGCUAACUAUCACAAGGGAUGAAUGAAUUCAAGUUGGAUGAGUGCUUUGAGAUUUUUGAAUGAAGGGAGAUAAUCCUUUUAAAAUAUUAUACUUUUUAGUGUUUUGUGAUUAAUGGAGUAAAGGAAAGCUAUGUAAGAAGAAGGUAUGAAGGAAGAGAGAGGGGGUCCCCUCCACUCUCUUUCCUAGGUCUCAGAAUGGCCCUCUCCUUUCCUCCCCCAGUCCUAAUCCCUCCUAUUAAGGCGGCUUUGGGUUUGUUAUGACAGCAGCUGAAAGCGGCUGAAUCGUUGUGUUUGCUGUGUUUGCUAAUUGGGCUGAAGGGCUCCAGUCUGGACACUCUGAAAGGAAUCAUUGUCACUACUGUAUUUACCUUCCUUUGGGAACCUCUAGGGGUGAAGGCUAUUGCUGAGCCUCAGCAGGGUCAUUGCACCCAUUCCCCUUUGCCUUCAUGCUAGGACCCUCCAUGAGAAGAUAGCUCAACUUUAUUGCUUCUGGUGGAACAAAUGCUCACAGCCUACUACUUAUAACACAUACUUAAUGCAGUCCUUCACCUUGGAUCAUCCACCAGUCUGGAUCAGGCUAUCUGAACAGAUCCUAUUUAGGGGAAAGUUUAGAAAUGAAGGAGAAACUGAGCUUAGAUGCCUUCAUUUUUAUUUUCUCAUUAUGUUCUUUCAUUUUCUGUUCCCUCCCUCCCUCUAGGUUCUGCUAUUGGCUUCCUAUUUGAUUUGGUCUUGGCAUUCCUCUUCCUUCUCUUCAUUCUGCAGCACAACUCAGCACGUUUGAUAUUGGUAUUCAGCACAUUGGACAGCGCCAGGAUGAGAAUCAUCCCUGUAACAAAGAUUUUAAAAGGAAGAAGAGGAAUAAAAAUCAGUUAAUCAAAGCCAGCCUUCACAUCUGUUCUGACAUUAUGUGCAAUACUCCAUAUCCAUGGUAUUCUACUUCUACAAAAAAAAGGGAACAGAACAAUAAGAGGACUUAAAGGACAAGGGGCCAAUAGCAUACAGAGGGAGAAGCCUUAACACAAUUGGCCUCCAUGUACCUGAAGCAGCCUUCCAGGAUUGACUGGAGGACAGAUAACGCCAGCUACUAAUCCCAGGGAGAGAGAAAGUGAAGAGAUCUUCCUGUCACCCUCUCCACUGAUAUCCACCCUCCUCCAGGAAGUUUGUCAGGAUUCAUAGAGCAUCAGCCCUUGAAUUGCCUGGUUCCUGUCCGGGAUAAAAGUAUUUGACCUUCAUGUAUACUUAUUGUGUAUCUAAGUUAUAUUUUAAUAUAUUUAACAUCUACUGGUCAUCCUGCCAUCUAGGGGAGGGGGGGGGUAAGAGGUGAAAAAUUGGAACAAGAGGUUUGGCAAUUGUUAAUCCUGUAAAGUUACCCAUGUAUAUAUCCUGUAAAUAAAAGGCUAUUAAAUUUAAAAAAAAAAAAAGUAUUUGACCUUAACACAUCUCAUCUCUGUGUAUUUUUACUAGCCUGGGAGCCCCAUGGGGGCAGGACCUGAGUCUGUGUUGAAUAAAAG
rnacentral:lncRNA from 1 species